GCCUAACACAUGCAAGUCGAGCGAAUGAAUUUCCUUCGGGAAUGGAUUUAGCGGCGGACGGGUGAGUAACACGUGGGCAACCUGCCUCAUAGAGGGGAAUAUCCUUCCGAAAGGGAGAUUAAUACCGCAUAAGAUUGUAGUACCGCAUGGUACAGCAAUUAAAGGAGCAAUCCGCUAUGAGAUGGGCCCGCGGCGCAUUAGCUAGUUGGUGAGGUAACGGCUCACCAAGGCGACGAUGCGUAGCCGACCUGAGAGGGUGAUCGGCCACAUUGGGACUGAGACACGGCCCAGACUCCUACGGGAGGCAGCAGUGAGGAAUAUUGGACAAUGGAUGGAAAUCUGAUCCAGCCAUGCCGCGUGCAGGAAGACGGCCUUAUGGGUUGUAAACUGCUUUUAUACGGGAGCAAUAAGGGUUACGAGUAAUCCGAUGAGAGUACUGUAUGAAUAAGGAUCGGCUAACUCCGUGCCAGCAGCCGCGGUAAUACGGAGGAUCCGAGCGUUAUCCGGAAUUAUUGGGUUUAAAGGGUGCGUAGGCGGCCAUUUAAGUCAGCGGUGAAAUUUUGCAGCUUAACUGUAACAGUGCCGUUGAUACUGUUUGGCUAGGAUUUGGUUGUAGUGUGCGGAAUGUGUGGUGUAGCGGUGAAAUGCUUAGAUAUCACACAGAACACCGAUUGCGAAGGCAGCACACUAAGUCAUUAUUGACGCUGAGGCACGAAAGUGUGGGAAUCAAACAGGAUUAGAUACCCUGGUAGUCCACACUGUAAACGAUGAUAACUCGCUGUCGGCGAUACACAGUCGGUGGCCAAGCGAAAGCAUUAAGUUAUCCACCUGGGGAGUACGACCGCAAGGUUGAAACUCAAAGGAAUUGACGGGGGCCCGCACAAGCGGAGGAACAUGUGGUUUAAUUCGAUGAUACGCGAGGAACCUUACCCGGGCUCGAACGGUGCAUGAAUAUACGAGAGAUUGUAUAGUCCUUCGGGACAUGUAUCGAGGUGCUGCAUGGUUGUCGUCAGCUCGUGCCGUGAGGUGUCGGGUUAAGUCCCAUAACGAGCGCAACCCCUAUCGAUAGUUACCAGCACGUUACGGUGGGGACUCUAUCGAGACUGCCGGUGUAAACCGUGAGGAGGGUGGGGAUGACGUCAAAUCAGCACGGCCCUUACAUCCAGGGCUACACACGUGUUACAAUGGCCGGUACAAAGGGCAGCUACACAGCGAUGUGAUGCUAAUCUCCAAAUCCGGUCUCAGUUCGGAUCGAAGUCUGCAACCCGACUUCGUGAAGCUGGAUUCGCUAGUAAUCGCGCAUCAGCCAUGGCGCGGUGAAUACGUUCCCGGGCCUUGUACACACCGCCCGUCAAG
rnacentral:rRNA from 1 species